GGACCCGCACAAGCGGUGGAGCGUGUUCUUUAAUUCGAAGCUAAACGAAGAACCUUACCGAGGCUUGACAUCCUAGGAAUUUUCCCGAAAGGGAAGAGUGCCUUUUGGAGCCUAGUGACAGGUGCUGCAUGGCCGUCGUCAGCUCGUGUCGUGAGAUGUUUGGUUAAGUCCAUCAACGAGCGCAACCCUUAUCGUUAGUUGUAUUUUUCUAGCGAGACUGCCCUUGUAAGAGGGAGGAAGGAGGGGAUGAUGUCAGGUCAGUAUUGCCCUUACGCCUCGGGCCAGAAACGCGCUACAAUGGCCGAUACAACGGGCAGCGAAACAGUAAUGUGAAGCAAAUCCCAUCAAAAAUCGGUCCCAGUUCGGAUUGAGGGCUGAAACUCGCCCUCAUGAAGUUGGAAUCGCUAGUAAUCGCAAGUCAGCAAAUUG
rnacentral:rRNA from 1 species